GCCCCUCGGGCCGCGAGAGGCGCCGGGAUCGCGGGCGCCGGCUGAGCCAGCGGCUCUUGGGAGGCUGCGUCCGCGCGCCGGCGAGGCGAGGCGGCCGGGCCCUGCGCGUCAGGCCUGAGACCUGGGAGGAAGCUGGAGAAAAGAUGCCCUCUGAAUCUUUCUGUUUGGCUGCCCAGGCUCGCCUCGACUCCAAAUGGUUGAAAACAGAUAUACAGAACUGUUUCAUCACCAGAAAGAUCUCUCUCCUGCCUCUCUUCUGCCACCAUCUCUAACUCCUGCCAACCACUGAUCUGUUCUUCAUCUCUAUAAUUUUGUUACUGUGAGAUUACCAAGUGAUAUGUGACCUUCGGAAAUGAUUUUCUUUACUCAGCAUAAUGCCCUCAGGUCCGUCAAGGUUUGUUGAGUAUAUCAGUAGCUAAACUGGGACCAUUUAUUUGUCUCUUCAUCUAAUCAUCAAUUAAAAAUGACCACGCAUAAAUGUAAGCUUUUACAGUUAAACUUAUUGUAUAUAAAUAGUCACUUCGGCUGGGCGCGGUGGCUCACGCCUGUAAUCACAGCACUUUGGGAGGCCGAGGAGGGCGGAUCACUUGAGGUCAGGAGUUCAAAACCAACCUGGCCCCCAUGGUGAAACCCUGUCUCUACUAAAAAUACAAAUGAGCCAGGUGUGGUGGUGUGCGCUUGUAAUCCCAGCUACUUGGGAGGUUGAGGCAGGAGAACUGCUUGAACCCAGAAGGUGGAGGUUGCAGUGAGCCGAGAUCAUGCCAUUGCACUCCAGCCUGGCCAACACAGCAAGACUCCUUCUCAAAAAAAAAAAAAUGUCACUUCAUGCUUAGAAAUAUCAGUAGAUGGCCGGGUGUGGUGGCUUAGCCUGUAAUCCUAACAGUUUGGGAGGCUGAGGUCAGGAGAUCGAGGUCAUCCUGGCGAACAUGGUGAAACCCCAUCUCUACUAAAAAUACAAAAAUUAGCUGGGUGUGGUGGCACGUGCCUGUAGUCCCAGCUACUUAGGAGGCUGAGGCAGGAGAAUCGCUUGAACCCAGGUGGCGGAGGUUGUAGUGAGCUGAGAUCGCGCCACUGCACUACAGCCUGGUGAGAGAGCGAGAAUCUGUCUCAAAAAAAAUAAAAAAGGGCAGUAGAUAAAAAAAGUACAAACAUGAGUAUCUUGAUAAAUUCUAUUCUCAGGCUUUCAGGUUCAUAAUCCUGUUGAUAGAUGACAUGUAGAAAUAGAAGAAUUUGUAAAUAUAGGAAUAUUCAUUGAUGUUUUUAGGACUGGAUUCUAAGGGUGGUUUUUACCUCUAAUAUCCAAAUACUGCUGCCUCAAGAGAACAAUUUUUGUUUUCAAAAUUCCAUGAUAAAAAAGAUGCAGUAACCCUGUAUGUGGCAUUUUGUCAGGUUAAUUAAGAGCAUUUUGCAGCAAAAAAAAAAGUUUUUUGUAGAGGCAGGGUCUUGCUUUGUUGUCCAGGCUGGUCUAGAACUUCUGCAUUCAAGUGAUCCUCCUGCCUUGGCCUCCCAAAGUGCUGUGAUUAGAUGUGUGAGCCACUGUGCCUGGCCUGGUGUUUUAAAGAACUAACUUUUAACUUUGGUUCUUGGAAAAGACUAGCAAUACUUGUUAUAAAAAAAAGGAAAAGGGUUUAGCCGUAGGACUUUGAUGACAAUUCCUUUUUUUUUUUUUUUUUUUUGAGACAGAGUCUCACUCUGUUGCCCAGGUUGGAGUACAGUGGCACUAUCUCAGCUCACUGCAACCUCCACCUCCCAGGUUCAAGCCAUUCUCGUGCCUCAGCCUCCCAAGUGGCUGGAAUUACAAGUGUGCACCACCACACCCAGAUAAUUUUUUAUAUUUUUAGUAGAGAUGGGGUUUCACCAUGUUGCCCAGGCUGGUCUUGAACUCCUGAGCUCAGGCAGUCCACCUGCCUUGGCCUCCCAGAGUGGUGGGAUUACAGCAGUGAGCCACUGAGCCCAGCAGAUGACAAUUCUUUAUGAAGAAGAAAUUGAGUAUCCUGUUUAAGGCACUCAAGAAAAGAAAAUGUGAGUAAAGCAUUUUUUGUUCCAGCAAAACCGACUUUUCAGAUGAAAAACACACAAACUUCUCAGUGAGCUGUAACUUAGGAAGUAUUGUUCUCAUGAGCCCUUCCUUAGGAAUGGAGUGGAGAAAGAUCUUUAGACAACUGGAUGACUGUAGAUCAACCUGCAACUGAUGAUGGGCAUGAAACAGUUAUUUGUUAAACCUAGACUGCAUGAGUGUUAAGGGAGAGAGCAUGGCAUAGCCAUGUGCUUAGACAUUGUAGAUUAUGGUUGUAACUGUUAUGCAGUUCUGUUAAUCUCAUCCAUCCAUUUUGUAUUUUCAUUUCUAGAGAUUCCAUUUGAGUCCUUUUUAUAUCUUCUGUUUCACUCCUUAUAACAUUCAUGCUUUCCUUCUAUUAGUAUAGGGAGAAUUUCUGUAAGAGAGCUUUUAAUGUCCUUGUCUGUGAAUUCUGUAAUCUCUGAUCACUUCUAGAUCCAUCUCUGUUGAUUGAUUCUGUCAUUUCUAUUGAUUGAUUGCCCUAGUUAUGGGGGCAUGGUUGUAUGCCUGCUAAUUUUUGAUUGAAUGCUAGGCAUUAAUUUUAUCUUCUGUGCAGGAUUUUGUUUUAUUUUUUUAAAGAGCCUUAGUUUUCUUCUGCCAUACAUGUAAGUUACAUGGGGUCAGUUUGAUCUUUUCAAAGCUUGAUUCUGAGGUUUGUUAGGCUGAUCCACACAGGCUUUACUCUUGGGCUCAUUUAUCCAUACAACGAAGGCAAUACUGUUCUCAGGACUCCACCUGAUGCUUGGUGUAUGAGAAGAUCUUUCUGUCCUUGUUUGUGGAAACACAGGCUUUUCCCAGACUGUGCAUCAUGGCAGUGCUGCUUAUUACUUUCUAGUGCUGCUUUCCCCAGUAUUCCAUAGUUUUCUUAACCUAUGCUCAGAGUAGUACUCAGACAGAUACUCAAGGGGCCCCUCCACUCAUCUCUGGAGCUUGCUGUAUUCUUGUCAUUUGGCCUACGUAUAGCUGAUCUGUCUCCUGAGCUCAGCAAGUUCUUUGGGCUCUAUUUGGGUUCCCCUUUCCUGUGCUGCAGCCUGGAAGCUGCUUCUGGGCAGUGUUUCCCUUCUCUCAGGGAUCCCAGCUCUGGGCUGUCUGUUGUCCAGUUUUUGGUAACAGCUUUUCGGUAUAUUCUGUCUGGUUUUCUAGUUGAUUAUAGCAAGGAAGUGAUUUCUA